rnacentral:rRNA from 1 species
GACGAACGCUGGCGGCGUGCUUAACACAUGCAAGUCGAGCGGUAAGGCCCUUUCGGGGUACGACGAGCGGCGAACGGGUGAGUAACACGUGGGUGACCUGCCCUCAGCUCUGGGAUAAGCCUGGGAAACCGGGUACUAAUACUGGAUAUGACUCCAUGACGCAUGUUGUGGGGUGGAAAGCCUUGUGCGGCUGAGGAUGGGCCCGCGGCCUAUCAGCUUGUUGGUGGGGUGANGGCCUACCAAGGCGACGACGGGUAGCCGGCCUGAGAGGGCGACCGGCCACACUGGGACUGAGACACGGCCCAGACUCCUACGGGAGGCAGCAGUGGGGAAUCUUGCGCAAUGGGCGAAAGCCUGACGCAGCGACGCCGCGUGA